rnacentral:rRNA from 1 species
GUGCCAGCAGCCGCGGUAAUACAGACGGGUGCAAGCGUUAAUCGGAUUUACUGGGCGUAAAGCGCGCGCUAGGUGGCCAAUUAAGUCAAAUGUGAAAUCCCCGAGCUUAACUUGGGAAUUGCAUUCGAUACUGGUUGGCUAGAGUAUGGGAGAGGAUGGUAGAAUUCCAGGUGUAGCGGUGAAAUGCGUAGAGAUCUGGAGGAAUACCGAUGGCGAAGGCAGCCAUCUGGCCUAAUACUGACACUGAGGUGCGAAAGCAUGGGGAGCAAACAGGAUUAGAUACCCUGGUAGUCC